rnacentral:rRNA from 1 species
CUACGGGAUGCACCAGGCGCGGAACCUUUACAAUGCACGUAAGUGUGAUAAGGGGACCCCAAGUGCUUAUGCAUUAGCAUAGGCUUUUGCCAAGUGUAAAUAACUUGGAGAAUAAGUGGUGGGAAAGACUGGUGCCAGCAGCCGCGGUAACACCAGCGCCACGAGUGGCAAUCAUGUUUAUUGGGCCUAAAGCGUUCGUAGCUGGUUUUGUAAGUUUCUUGUGAAAUCAUUUGGCUUAACCAAGUGGCUGGCAAGAAAUACUGCAUUUCUAGGGACCGGGAGGAGUAUGGGGUAUUCCGGGGGGAACGGUAAAAUGUAAUAAUCCUCGGAGGACCACCAGUGGCGAAGGCGCCAUACUAGAACGGAUCCGACAGUGAGGGACGAAGGCCAGGGGAGCAAAACGGAUUAGAUACCCCUGUAGUC